UUGAACGCUGGCGGCAUGCUUUACACAUGCAAGUCGAACGGCAGCACGGGGCAACCUGGUGGCGAGUGGCGAACGGGUGAGUAAUAUAUCGGAACAUAUCCGGAAGUGGGGGAUAACGUAGCGAAAGUUACGCUAAUACCGCAUAUGCCCUGAGGGGGAAAGGGGGGGAUCGCAAGACCUCUCGCUUUCGGAGUGGCCGAUAUCGGAUUAGCUAGUAGGUGAGGUAAAGGCUCACCUAGGCGACGAUCCGUAGCUGGUCUGAGAGGACGACCAGCCACACUGGGACUGAGACACGGCCCAGACUCCUACGGGAGGCAGCAGUGGGGAAUUUUGGACAAUGGGCGCAAGCCUGAUCCAGCCAUGCCGCGUGAGUGAAGAAGGCCUUCGGGUUGUAAAGCUCUUUCAGCCGGAAAGAAAUCGUGCUUAUUAAUACUAAGUAUGGAUGACGGUACCGGAAGAAGAAGCACCGGCUAACUACGU
rnacentral:rRNA from 1 species